rnacentral:rRNA from 1 species
GGAAUAUUGGACAAUGGGGGGAACCCUGAUCCAGCGACGCCGCGUGAGUGAAGAAGUAUUUCGGUAUGUAAAGCUUUAUCAGCAGGGAAGAAGAAAAUGACGGUACCUGACUAAGAAGCCUCGGCUAACUACGUGCCAGCAGCCGCGGUAAUACGUAGGGAGCAAGCGUUAUCCGGAUUUACUGGGUGUAAAGGGAGCGUAGGCGGUGCAGCAAGUCGGAAGUGAAAGCCCGGGGCUCAACUCCGGGACUGCUUUUGAAACUGUUGAACUAGAUUGCAGGAGAGGUAAGUGGAAUUCCUAGUGUAGCGGUGAAAUGCGUAGAUAUUAGGAGGAACACCAGUGGCGAAGGCGGCUUACUGGACUGUAAAUGACGCUGAGGCUCGAAAGCGUGGGGAGCAAAC